rnacentral:rRNA from 1 species
AUGUCGUCCCUUGUACGCCUUAUCCUGACAAUCUCCUUGGGCCUAAACCUCGCAGCCUUGAUCACCACCGCCAACGACCAAUUCAUCUACUCCGGAUUCAGUGGUUCCAACCUCGCCGUCGACGACACCGCCACCAUCACGCCGGACGGGCUCCUGGAGCUGACAAACGGCACGGCGUACCAGAAAGGCCACGCGUUCCACCCGGCCCCGUUCCGCCUCCGCGACUCCACGGCCAACGGCGUCGGCGAUGGCAAGGUGCGGUCCUUCUCCGUCGCCUUCGUGUUCGGCAUCGUCUCCGCCUACCCCGACUUCAGCGCCCACGGCAUGGCCUUCGUCAUCGCCCCGCGGAGGAACUUCUCCGAUGCUCUUCCUGCCAAGUAUCUGGGCCUUACCAACGUCCAGAACGAUGGCAACGCCAGCAACAGCAUCUUCGCCGUGGAGCUGGACACCAUCCAGAGCGUGGAGUUCAAGGACAUCAACGCCAACCACGUCGGCAUCGACAUCAACGGCCUGCAGUCCCUACGGUCAUACAACGCCGGCUACUACGAUGACGAGAGCGGCGACUUCCGAGGCAUGAAGCUCAUCAGCCGCGAGGCCAUGCAAGUGUGGAUUGAUUACCACGGGGAGAGGAAGGAGAUCAACGUGACACUGGCUCCCUUCGACAUGGCCAAGCCUGCUAGGCCACUCCUCUCGGCCAGCUACGACCUCUCCACGGUGCUCACUGAGCUGGUGUAUCUCGGGUUCUCAGCGGCGACCGGUCGUGUCAACUCGCGGCAUUUCGUUCUCGGUUGGAGCUUGGGCGUGAGCAGACAAGCUCCGGCCAUCGACAUGGCCAAGCUGCCCAAGUUGCCUCGGGUUGGCCCCAAGCCUCGGUCCAAGGUCCUGGACAUCGUUCUACCAAUAGUUACGGCCACAUUUGUACUUGGUUUGGGUGGUAUCCUUGUCCUGGUCAUGCGGAGGAGAUCAAGGUACGCUGAACUGCGGGAAGAUUGGGAGGUUGAGUUCGGACCACACCGCUUCUUGUACAAGGAUUUAUUCCGUGCAACUGACGGAUUCAAGGACAAGCAUCUACUUGGCGCAGGGGGGUUUGGAAGGGUAUACAGAGGCGUGCUUGAGACAUCUAAACUGGAGGUUGCGGUGAAGAGGGUGUCUCACGAGUCAAGACAGGGGAUGAGGGAGUUCAUAGCUGAGAUUACAAGCAUCGGCCGCAUCCGACAUCGUAAUCUUGUAGAGUUGCUCGGUUACUGCCGUCGAAAAGGUGAACUUCUUUUGGUGUACGCCUACAUGCCCAACGGAAGCCUGGAUAAACAUCUAUACAACACUAGAGAGGAUCAGCCUACUCUGAAUUGGGCUUUGAGGUUUCAGACCGUCAAAGAUGUCGCGUCCGGCUUGCUUUAUCUGCAUGAGAGGUGGGAGAAAGUUGUCAUCCACAGAGACAUCAAGGCCAGCAACGUGCUCCUCGACAAAGACAUGAACGCCCAGCUUGGUGACUUUGGGCUAGCAAGGCUGUACGACCAUGGGGCAGACUCGCAAACCACGCACGUGGUCGGCACCAUGGGUUACUUGGCUCCGGAGCUCAUACGCACGGGCAGGGCGUCCCCUCUGACCGAUAUGUUCGCCUUUGGCAUAUUCCUUCUUGAGGUUGCAUGCGGACAGAAACCCAUCAAGGAGAAUGCGCAAGGCGGACAGAUAGCGCUCGUCGACUGGGUGCUGGAGCACUGGCGUGAUGGUACGCUCAUGGAGACGGUGGACGCGAGGCUCCAGGGUGAGUUCGACAUCGACCAGGCAGGGCUGGUGCUCACGCUAGCGCUCAUGUGCUCACACCUUCUCGCUAGCGCGAGGCCUGGCAUUGGACAAGUCAUGCGCUAUCUGACCGGUGUUACGCCCCUCCCUGAGCUCACACCAACAGAUGUGCUCACCUUGAUGCAAAACAAGGGGUUUGACGAAUCCGCCAUGUCAUAUCCGGAUCUGGUGUCGAGCUUUGGCACAAUUUCCACCCUCUCGGGAGGAAGAUAA